CUCUCUCUCUCUCUCUCUAAUAGAAAGAAAGAGGACAAAAUGUAAAUAUUAUAGAAAGUGAGAUAAAUACAAGAAUACAAGAUGGAAGCAGAAAUGA